GUGGUUAAGUUAAUAAGGGCACACGGUGGAUGCCUUGGCGUUAGGAGCCGAAGAAGGACGCAGCGAACUGCGAUAAGCCUCGGGGAGUGGUAAGCACACUUUGAUCCGGGGAUUUCCGAAUGGGGGAACCCACCAUCUGUAAUGGGAUGGUAUCCUUCACUGAAUACAUAGGUGAUGAGAAGGCAGACCCGGUGAACUGAAACAUCUAAGUAGCCGGAGGAAGAGAAAACAAUAGUGAUUCCGUCAGUAGUGGCGAGCGAACGCGGAAGAGCCUAAACCGUAGGAUUUAUCCUACGGGGUUGUGGGGCGUUUCAUAUAGGAGUUACAAAAGACAGAUGUAGGUGAACAGUUUGGGAAGACUGACCAAAGAGCGUGAUAGUCGCGUAACCCAAACAUCUGUCUCUCCGAGACCAACCCCGAGUAGCGCGGGACACGUGAAAUCCCGUGUGAAUCUGGCAGGACCAUCUGCUAAGGCUAAAUACUACCUAACGACCGAUAGUGAACCAGUACCGUGAGGGAAAGGUGAAAAGCACCCCGGGAGGGGAGUGAAAUAGUACCUGAAACCGUGUGCUUACAAAUAGUCGGAGCACUUUCUAUGUGUGACGGCGUGCCUUUUGUAGAAUGAACCGGCGAGUUACGAUAGCGUGCGAGGUUAAGUCGAAGAGACGGAGCCGCAGCGAAAGCGAGUCUGAAUAGGGCGAAAGUACGUUGUCGUAGACCCGAAACCGUGUGAUCUAGCCAUGUCCAGGGUGAAGGUAGGGUAACACCUACUGGAGGCCCGAACCCACGCACGUUGAAAAGUGCGGGGAUGAGGUGUGGCUAGCGGUGAAAUUCCAAUCGAACUCGGAGAUAGCUGGUUCUCCCCGAAAUAGCUUUAGGGCUAGCCUCGGAUUUAGAGUCUUGGAGGUAGAGCACUGAUUGGACUAGGGGCCCUCAUCGGGUUACCGAAUUCAGUCAAACUCCGAAUGCCAAGUACUUAUAUCCGGGAGUCAGACGGUGAGUGCUAAGAUCCAUCGUCAAAAGGGAAACAGCCCAGACCAUCAGCUAAGGCCCCCAAGUGUAUGUUAAGUGGGAAACGAUGUGGAGUUGCCCAGACAACCAGGAUGUUGGCUUAGAAGCAGCCACCAUUUAAAGAGUGCGUAAUAGCUCACUGGUCGAGUGACUCUGCGCGGAAAAUGUAACGGGGCUAAACAUACCGCCGAAGCUAUGGCAGUCCUUAUGGACUGGGUAGGGGAGCGUUCCAAGCAGCAGUGAAGCCGUAUCGUGAGGAGCGGUGGAGCGCUUGGAAGUGAGAAUGCCGGUGUAAGUAGCGAAAAGACAAGUGAGAAUCUUGUCCACCGAAAGCCUAAGGUUUCCUGGGGAAGGCUCGUCCUCCCAGGGUUAGUCGGGACCUAAGCUGAGGCCGAAAGGCGUAGGCGAUGGACAACUGGUUGAUAUUCCAGUACCACCUCUGUUCCG
rnacentral:rRNA from 1 species